GCGAACUGCGGGCCAGCGGCUGUGGUAAUACGUUGGUGGCGAGCGUUGUCCGGAUGUACUGGGCGUAAAGGAUGCGUAGGUGGAAACUUAAGUGGGAUGUGAAAUCCCCGGGCUCAACCCGGGAACUGCAUUCCAAACUGGGUAGCUGGAGUGCAGGAGAGGAAAGCGGAAUUCCUAGUGUAGCGGUGAAAUGCGUAGAUAUUAGGAAGAACACCGGUGGCGAAGGCGGCUUUCUGGACUGUAACUGACACUGAGGCAUGAAAGCGUGGGGAGCAAACAGGAUUAGAUACCCCAGUAGUC
rnacentral:rRNA from 1 species